rnacentral:rRNA from 1 species
AGAGUUCGAUUAUGGCUCAGGAUGAACGCUGGCGGCGUGCUUAACACAUGCAAGUCGAACGAAGCGAUUUGACGGAAGUUUUCGGAUGGAAGUUAAAUUGACUGAGUGGCGGACGGGUGAGUAACGCGUGGGUAACCUGCCUCACACUGGGGGACAACAGUUAGAAAUGACUGCUAAUACCGCAUAAGCGCACAGGACCGCAUGGUCCGGUGUGAAAAACUCCGGUGGUGUGAGAUGGACCCGCGUUUGAUUAGCUAGUUGGUGGGGUAACGGCCUACCAAGGCGACGAUCAAUAGCCGACCUGAGAGGGUGACCGGCCACAUUGGGACUGAGACACGGCCCAA